rnacentral:lncRNA from 1 species
CCAUGAUCAGAUUGACAUCAAGUACUUUGUCGUCUCGGCUGCACCCAGACCCACCGAGGGGGUUUAAUAGAACUUGAGCCAGUGAAGAAGCUAGUCUUGGAAAUUGUAUUCUCUCUUGUAUGGUGUACCGCAUUUUGACACACUCAGAGUAUCGGAUGCGCCUGUUUUAGCUAAAUGAGUACCAGAUUAUGUUUUCUUACGCAUUUCUGCCUAAUGUUGCAAUUGCCUGACGUUUCAUGAGUGCAUCUUUCCUGUCGAAUGUUGCAAUUGACUGAAACUUCAUGAGUGCAUUUUUUUUGCUCAUCUACUAUGUAUUUUGCUAGGGAUGCAAAGCGGCGCCCGGAUCCGUCCUGCUUCGUAUACAAAAUUAAAAUUAGUUGUAGCUUUUGUUUGAUAGAGUUAGUUUAUUUUGUACUAGCUGAUUGAUUUCGUGGGGCUAAGCGGGAUGCCAGCUUGCAUCCCUAUAUUUUGCUCCCCAGCACAAAUUUAUCUUCCACAGCAUGCUUGCUGGAAUCUAACGAAGAUAUGCAAAUGCUAUGGAUGUGUUCCCUUGUUAAUCUAUUGAUCGAACUUUUCAGUCCAAUGUAGUCGAAAAUGCUGUCACUGAAUUAUUAUAAAAAGUAUAGUAAAAGAUUAUAUUCUCACUGUCAGAUAUGCAUUUUUCGACCGUGUCACCUACAAAAAUUUGACACGUAUACUUGUCACUGACAAAAAGACUCUGAAAAUUCAUCUGGAUUUUAAAAAAAGAAUAGCCAAAAAAGGAAAUUCGUCUUUUAAGACGAAAAAAAAA